AAAAUUCCGAUUAGCUGCUGCUUUUAGAAAAAGACAUCAUUUCCUAAUUCGGAAAUGGAAAUCCUCAUAUAGGGGUAUUGCAUCUAGAAGAACUUUUCAUGACCGAAAAUUUCGAUCUAUAGGUUCUAUUUGGAAAUGGAAAACAUAAUGGAAAAGUUUCGUAUCCAGGAAAAUUUUUCAUAACUAAAUAUUUUGACCUUGGUUGAAAAUUCCGAUUAGCUGCUGCUUUUAGAAAAAGACAUUCAUUUCCUAAUUCGAAAAUGGAAAUCGUCGUGCAGGGGUAUUCCAUCUACAACAGCUUUUCAUGACUGAAAAUUU